GGCGCCAUAGCCAAGCGGUAAGGCACGGGUCUGCAAAACCCUGAUCGGGGGUUCGAAUCCCCCUGGCGCCUCCA
rnacentral:tRNA from 1 species